GGUUGCGUGGUGUAUGGGUUGCACCUUCGGUAACAGUAGUGGCCGGCCCGUGGUGUUUCGUCGAAAAGUUGUCGGUUCGACUCCCACCGCAGCCA